UUGGUAAGGUAACGGCUUACCAANGGCGAUGAUGCAUAGCCGAGUUGAGAGACUGAUCGGCCACAUUGGGACUGAGACACGGCCCAAACUCCUACGGGAGGCAGCAGUAGGGAAUCUUCCACAAUGGACGCAAGUCUGAUGGAGCANC
rnacentral:rRNA from 1 species